rnacentral:rRNA from 1 species
AUGAAGUGGCUGGAGUACCUUGGGAGGUAUGGAUCGUUACGGGAACUUGUUGUAAAGGAUUGCGAUGGAAUCUGCCAGUAUGACCUCCUAGAAUUUGGUCCAGGAUGGGCGAAUCUCCAAAAAUUUGAGUUCGAGAUUAAUGGAAAUUACGUUGAGAUGGGGGCCCACGAUUCCUCCUCCUACGUGUCUGGCUACCCAUAUAGCUAUGACAUCUGCUGUGAUAAUUUGAAGGAUCUUAGAUUGGCUCAUAUUAUAACUCAGCCAGAAAUUGGACUUCGUUUUCUCCUGGGGAAGUGCAAAGCAUUGGAGACACUUUAUUUGGAGUACGUUAUUGGUCUAAGUGAGAGUGAGAUGAUCGCACUAUUCCAGAAUUGUAGCGACCUUAAAAGCAUCUCACUUCGACUCAUCCCUCUGCAUUGUGAAGAUUAUGAGUUUAGGACGGCAUUGACUGAUGUUAGCCUUAAGGCUCUAGCACUCAGCUGCCCUAUGCUUCAGGUUGUUGAGCUCACAUUCGCAUUUUGCUCUGUCCGUCGGCCAACAGAUAUAGGCUUUACACAAGAGGGUAUUGUAGCACUCAUCCAAUCCUGUCCGAUUCGUGCUCUUGUGCUAAACGGUGCCACCAUUUUCCGUGACGAGGGGAUGAAGGGCCUCUCAUCCUCACAGUUUCUGGAGACACUCGAGCUCGUGCAUUGCAAGUCUAUAACUGAUGCUGGGAUGGAUCUCAUUGCUCAGGCUCCUUGUUUGAGUCACCUCACGCUACGUUGA